UACAGAGGGGGCAAGCGUUGUUCGGAAUUACUGGGCGUAAAGGGCGCGUAGGUGGCCUUCUAAGUUGAACGUGAAAUCCCUGGGCUCAACCCAGGAACUGCGUCCAAGACUGGGAGGCUUGAAUCCGGGAGAGGGAUGCGGAAUUCCAGGUGUAGCGGUGAAAUGCGUAGAUAUCUGGAGGAACACCGGUGGCGAAGGCGGCAUUCUGGACCGAAACUGACGCUGAGGCGCGAAAGCGUGGGGAGCGAACGGG
rnacentral:rRNA from 1 species